AUGAACGCUGGCGGCGUGCCUCAUACCUGCAAGUCGCGCGAACAGACGAGGAGCUUGCUCCUCUGACGUUAGCGGCGGACGGGUGAGUAACACGUGGAUAACCUACCUAUAAGACUGGGAUAACUUCGGGAAACCGGAGCUAAUACCGGAUAAUAUAUUGAACCGCAUGGUUCAAUAGUGAAAGACGGUUUUGCUGUCACUUAUAGAUGGAUCCGCGCCGCAUUAGCUAGUUGGUAAGGUAACGGCUUACCAAGGCAACGAUGCGUAGCCGACCUGAGAGGGUGAUCGGCCACACUGGAACUGAGACACGGUCCAGACUCCUACGGGAGGCAGCAGUAGGGAAUCUUCCGCAAUGGGCGAAAGCCUGACGGAGCAACGCCGCGUGAGUGAUGAAGGUCUUCGGAUCGUAAAACUCUGUUAUUAGGGAAGAACAAAUGUGUAAGUAACUAUGCACGUCUUGACGGUACCUAAUCAGAAAGCCACGGCUAACUACGUG
rnacentral:rRNA from 1 species